CGACCGGGAGGGCCUGUUUAUUCUUAGGCCGUGGUGGAAGGGGAAGCGGGCAAGCCUGCCCUCGGGCAUGUGCAGAGUGCAGCCUGCGUUCCACAUCGGUAUAUUUCGAGUACAGUAUCUUUACUAUUGCUUUUAUUAUUUUGAAAUCAAAACGUGCGGCUUUAAUCUUCCUGCUGUUAUGUGGUUUGUUCUCAUCCAUUAAUAAUAAUAAUAAUAAUAAUAAUAAUAAUAAUUUUUUAAAAAAAUAUUUAUACCCCGCCCUCCCCAGCCAAGGCCGGGCUCAGGGCGGCUAACAAGCAAUAAUAAAAACAAAUAAUAAUAAUAAUAAAUAAAAAUGUAUAAUAUAAUAAUAAUAAUAAUAAUAAUAAUAAGUAAAUAAUAAUAAUAAGUAAAUAAUUAUUAUAUUAUAUAUUAUUACUAUUUAACUAUUUUUAUUUAUUUAGAUUAAUAAUAUAUAUAAUUAAUAAUAAAAUGUAUAAUAUACUUAAUAAUAAUUUAAAUUAAAAAAUUAAUUAUUAUAUAUUAUUACUAGUCAACUUUAUUUAUUUAUUUAAAAUAAUAACAAUAUACACACAACUGACCCUAUACCUGGAAGUCUUAGGGUGGUGGUGGUUCACAGAACAAAAACAAAAUAUAAAACCACAAAAUAUAUAAUAAAAAUAAAAAUAAACCCAAUACCCCCCCCAAAAGCCACCACAUUUUCAAAGGGCAUAGGAUGUCAAUCAAAUCAACCAAAGUGAGGAUCAAGGGGCAGUUUACAGUAUAAAAACACAAAAUGUGUAACAUAAUAACAAACGAAACACAAGCACAUUCAAUGGGGGGAGGAUUGCUCCCCCAUUUAAUGCGCUUGUAUUGGUCCUUGUGCCAUUGAGCAUGUGCCAAGUGCAGCCUGUGUUACAUAUUGGUAUGUUUUGAAUGUUUUAAGAGUGUUCUUGGUUUCUUUGUUUUUUAACCUGUUGACUGUUCCUAACUUAAUCUGCCCGUUGUUAUUUGAUUUAUUGCACAUUAUGUGAUACUGUGUAUUGGUGCCACCUGCUCGUGCCAAAUCAUUCCUAGGCUGUGGUGAACAAGAGUACUGUUGAGCUAGUGCAGAAUGCACCUACACACAGAAAAAGAUUUUGAGUAUUUUAACCUGUUGAUUUUUCUGGUCUUAAUCUGUGGUGGGGAAAAGUCAAUAGUACUCUGUGUAGAGUGCACCAUACAGAUUUUAAGAGAGAGAUUUGGUGCGUGAAGCAAGCCAGUGGCUGGCCAGAUCUAUCCAGGAAGCCCACAAUUUGGGUGGGAAGGCCAUAAGAAAGAGAGCAAGCAGAUUUCUCAUAGCAGGGAGUUGCAAACAACAACAACAAAAUGGCGAACAAGACCACCGCAAUAUAUCUCAAUGAAUUCGGGCGGUACAUUCAGGAGACAGUAGUCCCUUAGGUAUGAGGAGCCUGACCUAUUUCGGCACGCAGGGAUUCAUGAUGGGAAUGCCUUAAGGGCUGUACGCCUUUAAAUUAUGUUGUCCUCCUCUGUUACAUAACUGUAGCGAAAACGCAGCAAUUUUGUUCCGUUUUGAUUGGAGCGGAGCCAUGGAAUUAAUGCUGGCUGAAGGUGCUUUUGUUCUCUUGCUACGUUUAGAGCAGCCUGUAACCAACAGUCUUUAAUUAUUGGAGAAUUAAGCUCAUGGUGUUGCCCUUGAUAGAAUUUUGUGGAGUCGAAAACAGCAAACCCGUAAAGGAAAAUAUUGCUCUUGGGACGGAUAGCGCUACACUCCUUUCUUCCCACGUGCGAGAAUUAAAAACGGAGCAAAUUAAAAACUAGAGUUAAGAAAAGCAGAACGCAAAUGAAGAAGAGGUGGUGGGGAACCGGGGAACAAAAUUUUGAUUUCCGCACUACUAGUGUUGUAAACAAAAAUUGCCCUUUUCCCUUAUGGGGUAUCCAAGAGCCCAUAUAGAGUCCUUACAUAGGUUCCCUAUUGGUAGGAGAGAAUAACAGAGGCCAACCAGAGAAUAUUGAGAAGCAAAGCAGCUAGUAAGCUUGAGCUUUAUUGAUCUGUUGCAACAGGGUGCUCCUCUCACCCGCAGGAGAGAGAGGAACCCAGAAAAAUGGCGCGCAAGGCCUUAUAAAGACUUUUGAAAUUGCCACCCUGUAGAUCAAGACCACCCCCAGAAACAUCAUACCUACAUCACAGAAAAGGCACUCUAAACAGAAAUUUGAAUGUUGUUUUUCUCCUGUAGUUGUUUAUCUCCUGCCUGGCAGGUUGCUUAAUUGGAUUGCCUGGGUAACCAGGCCAGUCUUUUGUAAUGAUAAAUACUUUGUUCCUGGGCCAGGUCACAGGCUCACACCCUAUUCAUAUCUUAAAUGUGCCCUUAAGACAGGAUUUGUGAGUAAAGAGACAAUGGGGAGGUUUCCCACUUUGACCUUGCAGAGAAAACAUUUGCUCAGUUUAGGAAUCAAAAUGGUUCCAGGUCGGUCUUCCUGUGCUGAUCUAUGGACGUGCUUGGUUGGUACGCUUAUGAACAUUACCAUAUAUCUUAAAACCAUAAAAUUCCUAUCACACUAAAAAGGCAGGGACAAAAGGAUUCCCUAGCUUCUGUUCUUUCAACCCUCCUGGUGCUGUGGGUUUGUGCCCAAAUUCCAAUUUUAAGAAGGAAUAUUCCUGACAUUAAUUCUGCAGCUCACUUCCUUCUGUUGUUCAGCAUCGUCCCAUCCCGCCUCCUCCCAUCAGUGAUUGCACAUUACGGCAGCGUUCCCCAACCUGGUGCCCUCUGGAUGUUUCAGAACUCCGACCCGUGCU